GGAUUAGAUACCCGGGUAGUCCACGCCGUAAACGAUGGAUGCUAGCUGUUAGGAGUAUCGACCCUCCUAGUAGCGUAGCUAACGCGUUAAGCAUCCCGCCUGUGGAGUACGGUCGCAAGACUAAAACAUAAAGGAAUUGACGGGGACCCGCACAAGCGGUGGAGCGUGUUGUUUAAUUCGAUGGUAAGCGAAGAACCUUACCCAGGCUUGACAUCCUGCCAAGUUCUCCGAAAGGAGAGUGUGCCUUCGGGCCGCAGUGACAGGUGUUGCAUGGCCGUCGUCAGCUCGUGUCGUGAGAUGUUUGGUUAAGUCCAUCAACGAGCGCAACCCUUAUAGUUAGUUGUAUUUCUCUAGCUAGACUGCCCUGGCAACAGGGAGGAAGGAGGGGAUGAUG
rnacentral:rRNA from 1 species